rnacentral:tRNA from 1 species
AGUCCAGAGGUUAGGACUCUGCACUUCCAAUGCAGGGGGCACAGGUUCGAUCCCUGGU